UACAGAGGGGGGCAAGCGUUUGUUCGGAAUUACUGGGCGUAAAGGGCGCGUAGGCGGCCUUCUAAGUCGAACGUGAAAUCCCCGGGCUCAACCCGGGAACUGCGUCCGAUACUGGAAGGCUUGAAUCCGGGAGAGGGAUGCGGAAUUCCAGGUGUAGCGGUGAAAUGCGUAGAUAUCUGGAGGAACACCGGUGGCGAAGGCGGCAUCCUGGACCGGCAUUGACGCUGAGGCGCGAAAGCCAGGGGAGCAAACAGG
rnacentral:rRNA from 1 species